rnacentral:lncRNA from 1 species
UACCUUUGCAAUAGUGCUAUCAUGGCUGACAUUGAUGACCCUGUACUGUAUUCUCCUGCCUCCCAGGGUCCCCCAGGAACAGUUGGUGAGGAGGGGCCAUCUGGCAGGAAGGGGGAACCGGGAGCUCCAGGUCCCUUUGGAAAGGCAGGGCUGAAUGGACUACAGGGAGAGCCAGGGCCACAGGGCUCCCAGGGGAUGCAGGGUGAGCCUGGGCCAAGGGGCAAAGAGGGAGAGAUGGGAGGUUUCGGCAACAGAGGAUAUCCUGGUCCUAAAGGACAAAAGGGGGACAUAGGACCUCGUGGAUUUUCUUGGUCGGAGGGGCCCUCAGGAGCUCUUGGGGACAAUGGGAAAAGAGGAGUGAAGGGAGAGAAGGGCUACGUAGGACUACGAGUGAGUGACUGAUAAGGUGUAUUCUAUACUAAUGUUUGAUGGUUUAAUAGAGGUGAUGUGUGUGACAUGUAGAUUUGGCGCUUCAACAGUGUCCUGUUUCUGUUC